rnacentral:misc_RNA from 1 species
GAAAUGCGAUAAGUAGUGUGAAUUGCAGAAUUCAGUGAAUCAUCGAAUCUUUGAACGCACAUUGCGCCCUUUGGUAUUCCAAAGGGCAUGCCUGUUCGAGCGUCAUUUGUACCCUCAAGCUUUGCUUGGUGUUGGGCGUCUUGUCUCUAGCUUUGCUGGAGACUCGCCUUAAGGUAAUUGGCAGCCGGCCUACUGGUUUCGGAGCGCAGCACAAGUCGCACUCUCUAUCAGCAAAGGUCUAGCAUCCAUUAAGCCUUUUUUUCAACUUUUGACCUCGGAUCAGGUAGGGAUACCCGCUGAACUUAAGC